CAUGCCCAACUCUGAUCAAGGGAGCGGGAUUGCUCGUGCCUCCUUACCAUGACUCUGUGGACUCUGCUCUGCACAACGUCCACAUUCAUCUCCCACUGGAGAGGCAGGAGAAGCCACAUGCCCGAAUGAGGAUCCCAAAACCUGCACACGUUCACUCUCUCCUGGCAAAACCACAACACAAAUUAGAUCAUGGAAUACAAACACGGGCCUCUUCUACAGUUGUCACCUUAUGGAGGUAAGGUGUGGGAGGGUUCAAUAAUCGUUGGUGCUAAGUUUUCAGGGAAUUUAGGUCCAAGGUUAGGAAUCAGACAAAGAAGAGAUUCUCCAGACGAGGAAUAAAAAGAUGGAAAAUGGAUGGAGACAAACAUGAAACCUCUGAGAAACCAACAGGAGUUUCUGAUUUCAAACGUGACCUUUGUGUGCCCCGGCGAAGGUCUUCACCUCAAACAUGACUGCAGGUGUGGGUGUCCUUACUACCACAGGGGUUGUGGUCCGGACCACAGGAGUGGGGAUCCGGGCCACAGGAGUGGGAGUCUGGACCAGGUCGGGCUGUUCAUCCUCCACCAAGCCCAGACGGGAUCCCUUGGUGGUGGUGGUGGACGCUCCACUUCCCAUCUCGAUGCUCAUCAAGAGCACGGAGACUUUGCCAGGAAGUAGAGGACAGGUUGAGAUUAGGAUGGUGCUCACCCACCUGGUAACACCUGGGCAGCGCCAUGGCGGCGUCCAUCAUGUCCGCAGCCUGCAGGUUAACCAAGCGAAGGGCCGAGCCUUGAUUGAGGAAGUGCAGCUGAAGCGUAACCAACUUGGCCAAUCGCACACAGCGACUCGCCUGAUGCACGCAUGCGUCCUGUCAUGCACAUUUACACAGUCAAUAUGGCCGCCAGUCUGACAGAAAGUUGCCGAAGGUUCAUCAUGGUCAACAUCUCACCCCAGGCCUGAGACUGGAUGAUCUUGAGCUGCGUCCUGGCGGCCAUCUCAUGGUUCUCGCCGAUUUCGCGCCUCAUGCUGAAACACAGAGCCACCAUGUUGUGCUUCUCGCUGUCGGCAGGCAGGCAGCGCUUGAUGUAGUCCAACAGUGCCGUCUUCAGGCUCGCGCUCUGCAGGGACCGAGCCCAGCUGAGUUCCCUGAGUGGUACGGUCUCCAGCUUCUCCAGAACUUUGAGUCCCACCAGGUUAGGAUCCUCACACAAAGUGAUCAGCUGGAUCAGUGACUCGCGACCCUCUGACGUUCGGAUCACUUGCCUCUCUUAACACGCACAUUCAAAGACACCGUGUUAGAAGUAUGUACAGAGAGCCAUGCGGGUGUAGUCAAUGCAUUCGUCCCUUGCUCCCCUCCUACCAGUAUGCAUCUGGUGAGCGUGGGCUUUUGUGGCGCGCACCAGAGUGGCUGCCACCAACUCGGCUACGACAUCGGCGGAGAAAUUCUGAGCUCGGAUGAACAUUUGAGCGUUCCGGAAGCGUUCGGGAUGAUCGCACAGCAGUAGUUUCUCGAGAACACAGCCGGGAUCCUCGCUGCUCAUCUGACUGAAGGGGCACUGCAGCUCCUGUCAACACAUGCACGCAUACAAAUAUGCAUCAUCGAACACGCAUAAACGCACAUACACAGCGCACACAACACAAACAGGGCCAAGACCAAAUAUCAAGGCAAGUGGCUUCAUGGUGGUGACAUUCAAACACAUUUCCACAUGUACAAGAGACUAAAGAACAUCCCAAGUGAUUGUGCGACGGAUGGAUGCCAAUGGCAUCUACCUUCGAGAGCUGGUAAAGGCUAAGGACUUGUUUGCAGUAGUUGUUGCCAUGGCGACACCACUCGGCCAUCUUCUGUAACUGGACGGCAAUGUCAUCUUCAGGAAGAGGAGGAAGCAGGACGAAGGACGACAUGCUGCUCACAGAUGGAGCUGACAAAACAACCAUGCAUUUUGAUAAGAAUCACUUAGCGAUGAUGCUAACAUGCCAAGCACAGCGAGCAAUGUAUCCUAACUAGAUGAAACUGGAAAAUGGUCAAAAGAUAAAAGUCACCGACUGACCCAAA